GUUAUCGCCUCGAGGAACAGCUGAUUGGGUGUUUUUAUUGAAAAAGAAUAAUUAAUUUCGCUUGUGUUUUUCUCCAUCUAUUUUUAUCUGUCAAUUUAUUCGGUGAAUUUAGUUUUCUUCGUCCAAUAGCCAAUGGAACUGUGUCAAGAUGUCAUCACGGGUUUGUCUUUGCUCCGAGAUGAUUCGAGGGUAAACAAGUCGCAGUUAAUUGAAUUGAUUUCGACAAUCGGCCAAUCUUUGACUUGCGGAAUUGGCUCUUCCCUGGACAAGGCCAUGGACUCGGCUGAACUUAAAUUAGUUGGUUUGGCGAUCGUGAGUGUCUUUCUUGAGACUGCGAAAAAUAACAAAGCUUUGAACGAGGAAAUGUUGUUGAUUGAAACGUCACUUAAUGAGGCUGCUGUUGACUCUCAUUUCACUCAACUAAUUGUGGAUGAAUACAAGAUAUGAAAGAAAGUACUCUCAGUGAACUGAUUGACACGAGAUGGAGACAAGAUGUAAUAAUCAAGUCUAAAUAUCGUAAUCAAGUGAAUGAAAUCAACUACCUGGUUGAUUUAUUAAACAAUCACGGAAGGAGAAUCAGCUUUUCAUCUGAUCUCCCGGGUUUGCAAGAUUUAGGUUACCAAUUAAAGGAUUGUUGUAAGGCCGUCGAAAACACUUUCAAAAUUGUUAACUGACCAAUUCUUUUAUGUGUUUAUUUUCCAGAUACAAUCUUAUUAUUCUGAUUAUGAAAUGAUUAACCGAAUUACUUGCAGGUAUCUAAUGAAAAUUGUUUAUUAAACAAUCAACUUGAUUCUCUUUUUCUCUUUU